rnacentral:misc_RNA from 1 species
CAGAGAAAUUGCCCUUUGGGGUAGAUCUCCCACCCUUUGUUUACAUUACCUUUGUUGCUUUGGCAGGCCCGUCUUUUGACCACCGGCUUAGGCUGGUCCGCGCCUGCCAGAGGACCUCUAAACUCAUGAUUUUGUGUCGUCCGAGUCAUAUAAAAUAAGUCA